rnacentral:pre_miRNA from 1 species
CGUUCUUCACUGGCUAGCUUUACUGCUGUACUUUGGUAAAGCUGCCAGUUGAAGAGCUGU